rnacentral:lncRNA from 1 species
UUCCGACGCACGUACGAGCAACACCGGGACGGUUUCGUCAAACAGUAUUCGAUGCUUCGUUCGCAGCGAUCGGAGCCCCGGUGCACCGCGGCUAUUCCGCCC